rnacentral:rRNA from 1 species
GCGUGACCAACCUGCCCCAUGCUCCAGAAUAGCUCUUGGAAACGGGUGGUAAUGCUGGAUGCUCCAACUUGACGCAUGUCUUGUUGGAAAGUGUUUAGUGGCAUGGGAUGGGGUCGCGUCCUAUCAGCUUGUAGGCGGGGUAAUGGCCCACCUAGGCUUCGACGGGUAGCCGGCCUGAGAGGGCGGACGGCCACAUUGGGACUGAGAUACGGCCCAGACUCCUACGGGAGGCAGCAGGU